GGUGGCUCAGUGGUAGAGUGCUUGCCUUGCAUGCAUGACGCCCUGGGUUCAAUUCCUCAGCACCA
rfam:Dipodomys ordii contig_23376, whole genome shotgun sequence.